GCCUUUCCUUUCACGACUUGUAGCAGGAGCAAGGAGGCCUAAGUCUAAAGUCACCCAUGGUAUCACAGAGCUAGCUACUGACCAGGCCACUGUAGUGGCUCUCGGAGCAGCUCACCUUCCUCCCUCACUUCGUAGUACAUUUUAUUUUAAAUCGAGAACUUAUCUUCCAGGUUCUAAACUUUUUAUGCUAUCAUACAUUUAUCAUCUUGCUUUUGUUCACUUGGGGAGCAAGAAGGAAGGAGGGAAGAAACUAAAUGUUAGCAUACAUUUCCCUCUGCCUGACUUAGUUAAAUACCAAGGAAACACACACCACCUGGAUCCCCCUCUCCCCAACCCCUUUUUGUUUGAGAGUUGGGUUGGAAGUAGAGAUGUCUGUGUGGUCUGAAGAAAGCAAGGCUGAUUGGGAAAUCAGUCACUAGAACAGUGCUUGGCGAACCCACCUCCUGUUGCUCAGCGUGACUCAUCACCUGUUUUUAUAAACAAGGUUUUUAUUAGAAUACAGCCCCAUCCAUUCCAACGGCUGCCUUUGUGCUAUGAGAGCCGGGGCAGGAAUAGAGGGGAAACUUCACCUGCCUUGCCGUCCCUGGAGCUGAGACUAAACAGCCUGAUUGAUGAAGUGCUUCAGACUUGUCAUUUCAGCAGUUUUUAUACACAUCACUGACUCUGCCUGACGUUUGAGUGUAUGGCCCAAAUUAGUAUCCUGAUGAACUCAAAUGAAGAAAAAAAUCUUUAAAAAUCUGUUUGUAGAUGUUUCCAUGUUUAUGCAGCUGCUUCAUGACAAAAUCAUCCAACCAUCAUAGAGUCAUGUGCAUUGAGAUGAGACUAAUUUGUUUGGAUGUUCAAGCAGAUGAGGGAGUGAGUUACUACGUUCUACAUGGGAGAGCUGAAACCUGCAUUGAUUGUAGUGGAUAUCUGUGGAACCGUGAUGGAUUUCACUCAUGAUGGAACUUUCACCUCUAGAAGAUGGAACAAAAGUCCUAGAAGCAAUGCCCCUUGAAAGGAAAUUCUAUGUGUCCCCCCAGGGGCUGUCUGUCAUCUUUUGUUACUUCAGGUCCAAUCUGUGGAGUCACUAUGUACCUCCUUGUAAUAUCCCACCACGUCACUAACACCAAUGGCAAGCAUUUCAUUGCAAGAGAGAGUUUUGUGUGAAUAAGGGCAAACAAAGAAUGGAAUCCCUGAAAAUUGAACAUCAGAUCCAACUGGGAACUUCUCAGUGGACAGCACCCCUUCAGUAGCUCCUUCCUGGUGGCUAUGUCUAGCUAAGGGGUGAUACUUUUAGAAGGAUGGAGCAAAGAUGGGUGAUUCCUCUUGUGAGGGAUGCUGCAAAGAACUCAAUAAAGCAAACUUCAUUAUCAGUGUCUGAUGCCAGAGAAUGUGAUGCCACCAGGAGACGUCCACUUUUAUGACUCUAACAUAAAGCGUUUAUUUUACAUAGAUAAUUUUGUACCUUUAAAUUUUAAAUUCCUUUUUAUCCUCCUCCUGAAACUGUAAUGUAUUUGGUGAUUUUAUUGUAUUUAAAAUUUUCUAUUGAUAUCAUACCUUUGGUAUGGGUGUCAAUGCAUAGCAGCAAUUAUCCAUAACAAAAAGAGAAAGGCUGGGUUGUUGAAUUGGGACUGCAGCAUGAUUUAAUUGAUCUGUUUAACUAUUUAACAGUAUAAAUCUUUUUUAAUUAAAAAUUUUAAUUUUAGACUGAUAGUAAUAUUUGUAUUUUUAAAUGGAGUAUAGCAAUACAACUCAGCAGAGGUGUAUAAUGUGUGAUGAUCAAACCAAGGUAGUGACUAUUUCUGCCUCCUGAAAUAUUGUCAUUACUGUGUGUUGGAAAUCCUCAACUGACUCUAUUCUAAUUAAUGUAAAAGGCACAAUAAAUUGCUGUAUAGUGCAGUUCCUUCACCAUGCAACAGAACAUUAGACUUCUCUGCUGUAACUUUGGUACCCAUCAUGCGUCCUCUAUUUUCCAUCCACCGCAACAUUAGUAGUUUUCAGUGAGCUAUUUUAUGAUCUCUAUUAUACUUGGGGGAAUUGAGCUGGAACCGACCUGGAAGCCUCCUCCCUGAGGACUAGCCUUCAUAGUGUGAUAUGAGAAAGUGCCGUGCAAGCUAUCUAUUAUACUUGGGGGAAUUGAGCUGGACGACCUGGAAGCCUCCUCCCUGAGGACUAGCCUCCAUGGUGUGAUAUGAGAAGGUGCCAUGCAAGCUAUCUAAAGAGAAAAACAAUAAUUCUACCAAGCUGUAAAACCCAUGGACUACAACAAUGACCCAUGAAGACAUCUCCAAAUAUGCAGUAGUGACACUUAUAUCUUGGAAUUUGCCAACAGCUAAUUGGACUUUGGAGCCACUUAAGGAGGAAAAUCAUGUCUGCUACUGUAAACCUAGCCAACUGUCUGUGGCUAAUGAUGUCAUGGACCCUACAGGAGAACCUACUACUGUCACUUCUCUAGAUCAGUAUAAUUUCUAGCUGAAUUAUACAUUCUUCAUCAUCAUGCACACA